rfam:Asian citrus Psyllid, Diaphorina citri - Florida Strain, whole genome shotgun sequence.
GCCAGCAUCUAUAUUACGUUGAAUAGGUACCUACACCAGUUCUUGUCAGAUCACUGAAGAGCAACCUCAAGUGUGGUUAGUAGGUACUUGGACGGAUGACCGCCUGGGAACUACUCUCAUGUGAUGCUGGUU